CGGGAAUUCGAUUGGCGGACGGGUGAGUAAUAUAUAGGUAAUGUGCCCUAGAGAAGAGGAUAACAGUUGGAAACGACUGCUAAUACUCUAUAUGCCUUUAAGACAAAAGUCUGCAAGGGAAAUAUUUAUAGCUCUAGGAUCGGCCUGUACGGUAUCAGCUAGUUGGUGAGGUAAUGGCUCACCAAGGCAAUGACGCCUAACUGGUUUGAGAGGAUGAUCAGUCACACUGGAACUGAGACACGGUCCAGACUCCUACGGGAGGCAGCAGUGGGGAAUAUUGCACAAUGGGGGAAACCCUGAUGCAGCAACGCCGCGUGGAGGAUGACACAUUUCGGUGCGUAAACUCCUUUUAUAUAGGAGGAUAAUGACGGUACUAUAUGAAUAAGCGCCGGCUAACUCCGUGCCAGCAGCCGCGGUAAUACGGAGGGCGCAAGCGUUACUCGGAAUCACUGGGCGUAAAGAGCGUGUAGGCGGGUUAAUAAGUUUGAAGUGAAAUCCUAUGGCUCAACCAUAGAACUGCUUUGAAAACUGUUAACCUAGAAUAUGGGAGAGGUAGAUGGAAUUUCUGGUGUAGGGGUAAAAUCCGUAGAGAUCAGAAGGAAUACCGAUUGCGAAGGCGAUCUACUGGAACAUUAUUGACGCUGAGACGCGAAAGCGUGGGGAGCAAACAGGAUUAGAUACCCUGGUAGUCCACGCCCUAAACGAUGUACACUAGUUGUUGUGAGGCUAGACCUUGCAGUAAUGCAGUAAACACAUUAAGUG
rnacentral:rRNA from 1 species